rnacentral:rRNA from 1 species
CAGUCGCCACGGGAAUACGUAGGGUGCGAGCGUUAAUCGGAAUUACUGGGCGUAAAGCGUGCGCAGGCGGUUCGUUAAGUCUGAUGUGAAAGCCCCCGGCUCAACCGGGGAGGGUCAUUGGAAACUGGGAAACUUGAGUGCAGAAGAGGAGAGUGGAAUUCCACGUGUAGCGGUGAAAUGCGUUGAGAUCGGAAAGAACACCAACGGCGAAAGCACUCUGCUGGGCCGACACUGACACUGAGAGACGAAAGCUAGGGGAGCAAAUGGGAUUAGAUACCCCAGUAGUCCCUGUCUCUUAUAC